rnacentral:rRNA from 1 species
UACGUAGGCAGCGAGCGUUGUUCGGAGUUACUGGGCGUAAAGGGUGUGUAGGCGGUUGUUUAAGUUUGGUGUGAAAUCUCCCGGCUCAACUGGGAGGGUGCGCCGAAUACUGAAUGACUAGAGUGCGGGAGAGGUGAGUGGAAUUCCUGGUGUAGAGGUGAAAUUCGUAGAUAUUAGGAAGAACACCGGUGGCGAAGGCGGCCCACUGGCUCGACACUGACGCUGAGGUGCGAAAGCGUGGGGAGCAAACAGG